rnacentral:rRNA from 1 species
UACGUAGGGUGCGAGCGUUGUCCGGAAUUAUUGGGCGUAAAGAGCUCGUAGGCGGCCUGUUGCGUCCGGCUGUCGAAAUCCCAGGGCUCAACCCCUGGGCGUGCAGUGGAUACGGGGCAGGCUGGAGGCAGGCAGGGGGAGAACGGAAUUUCCGGUGGAGCGGUGAAAUGCGUAGAGAUCUGAAAGAACACCAACGGCGAAAAGCACUCUGCUGGGCCGACACUGACACUGAGAGACGAAAGCUAGGGGAGCGAAUGGG